AUUCUUCUUCUGAUAAAUCUGACAAAAAAUUAGUCAAAAUAUGCAGUUGGUGGAAUACCGCUUUAACCAUUUGAACUAAAUAACUAUUUAAUGCAUGACCAUGACAAGGGUAGAAUGUAAAACCUUCUUUCAGGUAAUGAAGGUUCAUUUAUCUUAUUGCCAGACUUCAAGGACAUUCCAGGCCACGUGUGAGCAGAGAAAGCCCCAUAGAGUCGUUCAACACCCUGCAAAUCACCAUCUAUGGAUAGACCUGCAACGAAAAGAUUUAGUGGAGAUCAGUUGCAACACAGCGCCAGAUUGAAGAGCAAGAAUGCUAUGACAGUCUUACAUUUGUCAAAAUAAGCAUUAGAUGCACACACUUCGAUGUAUUCAAUGUUAUGUUCAAUGCACCAUUCCAAGCAUUGCAAGACUUUGUAAUCUCUGAUGAUGGUUCAUCUCCCAAUAAACUACUCCCUUCGGUUUCAGAAAUUCCAUAGUAGUCUAGACUAGAACUACCAGAGGAUUCUUCACGCUUCAGCAGGCAUCUCCUGUAUUCAGCGUGAGCUGGAUGACGAGGAAGAAGAUCCAUUUUUUUACCAAUACAUAGCAGUAUAUCAAAUUUCUGAAUAUCAAUUUGCUUCACACAUUUUUUAAGAGCAGCAAAAGAAGAAAGCUGAGUACAAUGGCACGAAAGAAGACAUGUCACUGCACUCAAUGUUAUAGUGGGACAACAUCCUGCACAUUACAGAAACAUUUGCAGAAAAGAGAUGGAAGUUUAACCAUUAAUCUGCACAAAAGAGGAGGGUAAAGGACAAGGCUUACCUCAUCAACAUUGAACACCAUCACCGGGGCAGAUAGCUUAUCAGCCAUUGGCAGGCUCGAGAUUGAGAACUCGCUGUGAAGAUGAGCCAUCCAAACUGAAACAUCAGCUGUAUAGUAUUUUGUGUUGAUUGUCCAACUGUUUAAGAAACCAGACUCAUAGUUAUCAUUAAAUGAUGAAAAUCUUCUUAAA